AGCAGCCGCGGUAAUUCCAGCUCCAAUAGCGUAUAUUAAAGUUGUUGCAGUUAAAAAGCUCGUAGUUGAAUUUCGGGAUUGACGUAAUGGUCAUGCCUUAAGGGGUAUGAACUGUUACAGUUGAUUUCUCACCUUCUGGAGAAACUUGAUGUCCUUUAUUGGGUGUCUUGCGGAUCCAGGACCUUUACCUUGAAAAAAUUAGAGUGUUUAAAGCAGGCAUUUUGCUCGAAUGCAUUAGCAUGGAAUAAUAGAAUAGGACGGCAUGGUUCUAUUUUGUUGGUUUCUAGGAUCACCGUAAUGAUUAAUAGGGAUAGUUGGGGGCAUUAGUAUUCAAUUGUCAGAGGUGAAAUUCUUGGAUUUAUUGAAGACUAACUACUGCGAAAGCAUUUGCCAAGGAUGUUUUCAUUAAUCAAGAACGAAAGUUAGGGGAUCGAAGACGAUCAGAUACCGUCGUAGUCUUAACCAUAAACUAUGCCGACUAGGAAUCGGACGGAUGUUAAUUUUUAAUUGUACUCGUUUG
rnacentral:rRNA from 1 species